rnacentral:rRNA from 1 species
UAGGGAAUCUUCCGCAAUGGGCGAAAGCUUGACGGAGCAACGCCGCGUGAGUGAUGAAGGUCUUCGGAUCGUAAAACUCUGUUAUUAGGGAAGAACAAAUGUGUAAGUAACUAUGCACGUCUUGAUGGUACCUAAUCAGAAAGCCACGGCUAACUACGUGCCAGCAGCCGCGGUAAUACGUAGGUGGCAAGUGUUAUCCGGAAUUAUUGGGCGUAAAGCGCGCGUAGGCGGUUUUUUAAGUCUGAUGUGAAAGCCCACGGCUCAACCGUGGAGGGUCAUUGGAAACUGGAAAACUUGAGUGCAGAAGAGGAAAGUGGAAUUCCAUGUGUAGCGGUGAUAUGCGCAGAGAUAUGGAGGAACACCAGUGGCGAAGGCGACUUUCUGGUCUGUAACUGACGCUGAUGUGCGAAAGCGGGGGGAUCAAACAGG